UACGUAGGGUGCGAGCGUUGUCCGGAUUUAUUGGGCGUAAAGAGCUCGUAGGCGGUUUGUCGCGUCGGCCGUGAAAUCUCCACGCUUAACGUGGAGCGUGCGGUCGAUACGGGCAGACUUGAGUUCGGUAGGGGAGACUGGAAUUCCUGGUGUAGCGGUGAAAUGCGCAGAUAUCAGGAGGAACACCGGUGGCGAAGGCGGCUCACUGGCCCGGUACUGACGCUGAGGCGCGAAAGCGUGGGGAGCAAACAGG
rnacentral:rRNA from 1 species